rnacentral:rRNA from 1 species
AGCAGCCGCGGUAAUUCCAGCUCCAAUAGCGUAUAUUAAAGUUGUUGCAGUUAAAAAGCUCGUAGUUGAAUUUCGGGAUCAAAGGAUCGGUCAUGCCUUGGUAUGUACUGGUUUUAUUGGUUCUCACCUUCUAAAGAACCAUAAUGUCAUUCAUUUGAUGUUAUGGGGAAUUAGGACUGUUACUUUGAAAAAUUAGAGUGUUUAAAGCAGGCUCGCGCUUGAAUACAUUAGCAUGGAAUAAUGAAAUAGGACGUUUGAUUCUAUUUUGUUGGUUUCUAGGAUCGACGUAAUGAUUAAUAGGGAUAGUUGGGGGCAUUAGUAUUCAAUUGUCAGAGGUGAAAUUCUUGGAUUUAUUGAAGACUAACUACUGCGAAAGCAUUUGCCAAGGAUGUUUUCAUUAAUCAAGAACGAAAGUUAGGGGAUCGAAGACGAUCAGAUACCGUCGUAGUCUUAACCAUAAACUAUGCCGACUAGGGAUCGGAUGAUGUUAAUUUUUAAUGACUCAUUCGGCGCCUUAAC